GACGAACGCUGGCGGCGUGCUUAACACAUGCAAGUCGAACGAAGUGGCGAACGGGCGUGUAAUACGUGGGUAACCCGCCCUCCUUUUUGGGAUAAGCCUCGGAACCGGGGUCUAAUACCGACUAAAGGGGGAUGGGCUCGGUGACUAGCAGCUUGUUGGUGGGGUGAUGGCCUACCAAGGCGGUGACGGGUUGCGGGCCUGAGAGGGUGCCCGGCCACGUUAGGGCGGAGAUACGGCCCAUGCUCGUACGGGGGGCAGCGGGGGGGGAUAUUGCACAAUGGGCGCAAGCCUGAUGCAGCGACGCCGCGUGGGGGAUGAAGGCUUUGGGGUUGUAAACCUCUUUCGCUAGCGAACGGGUAGGUGGAGAAGAAGCGCCGGCUAACUCCGUGCCAGCAGCCGCGGUAAUAC
rnacentral:rRNA from 1 species